rnacentral:rRNA from 1 species
AUUGAACGCUGGCGGCAGGCCUAACACAUGCAAGUCGAGCGGAUGAAGCUAGCUUGCUUCUGUCUUCAGCGACGUUCGGGUAAGUAAUGCCUAGUAAUCUGCCUGGUCGUGGGGGAUCUCCUCCAUAAACGGGCGCUCAUCCCGCAUACGUCCUGUAGGAGCAAAUAAGGGAUCUUCUGACCUCACGCUCUCAGAUAAGCCUAGGUCGGAUUAGCUAGUUGGUGGGGUAAAGGCUUACUAAGGCGAUGGUCCGUAUCUGGUCUGAGAGGAUGAUCAGUCACACUGGAACUGAGACACGGCCCAGACUCCUACGGGAGGCAGCAGUGGGGAAUAUUGGACAAUGGGCGAAAGCCUGAUCCAGCCAUGCCGCGUGUGUGAAGAAGGUCUUCGGAUCGUAAAGCACUGUAAGUUGGGAGGAAGGGCAGUAAGAUAAUACGUUGCUGAUUUGACGUUAACAAAAGAAUAAGCAACGGCUAACUUCGUG